CUUAUCGAGGAAAAGUCCCUCGCAGCAGGGAGGAGAGAAGAGAAGCAGAGGGAGGGAGGGAGAGAGUGAGGGAGGAGAGGGGCCUGACACUCAGGCUGAGUCUGGGACACCUUGCAGCAGCGUGGCCAGCCUUCCCUUCCACUGGACCUCGGUGGCCAAGGGCUACUCCCAGUCCCUUCCACAUGCCCCUGGCCGAGCACUCAGGUCACUUUUAGUUUGCCUGCAGAAAAAGGCAGUCAGAGGACAAACGGCCUUUGACCCCCCCACUCUCCUGGUGCUGGAAAGGAGGCAGCGCCCAGCAAAUGGGACUCUCCCUGGAGCCAUAAGGACUAGGAGGGCUGGCAUUUGGCUGAGUAGCCAGGGUAUUUUUAUCCACUCUGUACAAUCUGAUUUUUUUAGUUGGCAUACUUUCAGACAGAAUUUUCCUAUUAAAAUGUGCUAAAAUUAUGCCUGAAGAGAAAGCCCAUUGUAUACAGAUAACUCCCCACAAAAGGCCCUCUGAUUGCACAGGCCCCACGUGACUCCAAAAAGCACUGGGGUCGGCCGGGCGUGGUGGCUCACGCCUGUAAUCCCAGCACUUUGGGAGGCCAAGCAGGGUGGAUCACCUGAGGUCGGGAGUUCAAGACCAGCCUGACCAACAGGGAGAAACCCCGUCUCUACUAAAAAUACAAAAUUAGCUGGGCAUGGUGGCGCAUGCCUGUAAUCCCAGCUGCUUGGGAGGCUGAGGCAAGAGAAUCACUUGAACUUGGGAGGCAGAGGUUGCAGUGAGCCGAGAUUGCCUGAUUGUACUCCGGCCUGGGCAACAAGAGCGAAACCCCGUCUCAAAAAAAAAAAAAAAAUCAGAGGUCUAGCCCAGCAGGACAUGUAUGGCCAGCUCUCCCUGCAGGGUGAGAGGGACUUUGGAGAAAGGAGGACCAGAAGGAGAGCAGCCCUUCCCAUCUUCUCUUCCCCUGGGCCAGGAGAGUGCUUUGGGAUGAGGGACGUCCCACACCACAGACUGCAACCCAGCGCUUUGAAAGAAGUUUAAAGAAAAUGUUAGGGUUUGGACAAGGCCCAGCUGGGCAAGAGAUUCUUGUUUUCUAACCAGGAGAAUACACUUGCUGCUAAAACAUACAGAGGAAGAGAUUAACAUAGUAACGAAGCAAAGCAAGGAGGAGAAACAAAACCGUCUGUACUCAACAAGAGGGUGCCCCGCCCAGCCUCAGCUCCUCUAGCCAACAGGAGAGCUGCCACCCAGAACUAACCUCAGGUUCAUCCAAGUAACAGGCUGUUCUGGUGCUCACCCAGGUAAUAGGGCUGUUCUUAGGUUCAUCCAGGUAACAGCUGUUCUUGUGCUCACCUGGGUAACAGGGAUGCCCUGCUAAUGCCAGGGAGGAAAGCCAGACUCUUGGGUAGAAAGAAUCUGAUAGCAGCCUGGCUCUCUUUGCCUCUGUUAAGCAUCACUGUGUUCAAUCUCCAUUUUUAGAACUCCACAUUAAAAGGUCAAGUGCCUUCUAAAGUAUUUAUUUUCUCUCCAGUGUUUGUGCCCUGAUUGAAAUGACAGCACCAUGCUGCUUCCCUCGCACCCACAUCAAGCUUGAUCCACUUGGCACAGGUUAUUUUUUACCCGAAUGGCCAAAGAAGCCUGAAAUUCACAGCAUUUGGGGUUCUGUUUUUUCUUAAUCUGGCUGUAACCCUGACUCCUAGAGCCACAAAAACACGUGGCCACUCAGAAAAAGCACAGGUGUCCUUCCUCCCAUGGCCAGAUUGGUGGAAUGCACCUGCCAAGUCUUCACCCCCAUGGGCUUUACCUCUGAACAUAUGAUCUUGCUAAAGUAAACCCAGCUCUGCCCACCUGUAGGACCCCACCAUCCCAGAGGUGGCCUUCCGGAGCCCUGCCUGAGGGCUUGCAGAAAGCUCACGGCGUGGAUGUCUGGAUUGCUGGCAGGCCUUCUCCCUGAUCUGGCUGUGUCUUGUCGCCUCUUGCUCUGGGCUUCCUGGCCAGUCACUGUGUCACAGAACUCCAUGAACUUCUCUCCCGCUGUAGCUCUCCAGAACAGCCCAAGGCGUGGCCACACUUCACCUUGGAUUCCCCACAACAGAGAAUAUCAGGCUCCAGUGUUCCAGGUCCAGCUUCCCAGGGGCUCCUGGGAACCAGGCAAGAAAUCACAACUCUGAGGAGAAAGCCAAACCCUGUUUAUCAAAGAUCCCUGUGUCCUUGUCUAUUGGCCAGGCCCCAGGACUGGUGUCCCCUCUCCAGAGUCCAGGCCUCCUUUCUCCAGGGGCCUCAUUUCCAGAGCAGGCAGGGUACAGGCACUGUUGGAUUCACCCGCACAGCUCUGAGAGUGGGCUUGGCCCAUUUGCGGAACCCCGAACCAGGGAUGCCAAGGUUCUGUGCACUCCAGGCUGCUCAACCCCAAACUCCAGAAGCAGGUGAAAAGAGAAUGUGGCUGGAACGCUCUUCUAGCAAGGUCCUCGAGUUCUUGGACCAGAAAGACAAAACCCUUCUCCCAUGGGAAAAACAGACUUCUAACCCUAGAGCACACAAAACCAACUCGCACCAUUAAGCCCAGCCAUUCACAUUCUUUUUCGCAACUCUCCACCUUCCCAAGGGCAAAGCAAAGCCUUCUUUCCAAGACAAGUCCCAUCUCUCACCCCAAAAGAAGAGCAGGGGUAGUUGACGGUGAAAACUCAUAACAGAUAAGUGAAGAACUUCGUCCUCACAUCAGCCCUGGGGGCAGAAUUCCCGGCCCAGCACAGAGCCCAUCCGGGUAGGAGGGACAGCGGCCUGCGUGACGUGGUUGUCAGAGACAGCCUCGUGCUUCCAUAUCGCCACCCGCAGAGCACAACAGUUCAGUCUGCGAUUUCAACUCCAGACCGUAUUGACAGAAGCAAAGAAAACAACAGCUAAAACCAGAAGGUCUCACCAGGGAGCCUAUGUUAAAAAUAAAAAUAAAUAAAAUACUUGGAACAUUCUUUUCUGCAGGAACAUCUACUCCCUUUUCUACUUAAUCCUGGCCUCCUUUCUUCUCUCCCUCUUUUCCUAAUGAGCCCCUCUGGCUGCUGCCCAGCGUGGUGGCUCCUCCUCCCCCCAUGCCCA
rnacentral:lncRNA from 10 species